rnacentral:tRNA from 1 species
ACUAAUUUGGCAGAUAAGUGUAAUGAUUUUAGAAAUCAUAUAUAUAUAAAUAUAUUUAUAUAUUUAGUA